rnacentral:rRNA from 1 species
UACGGGGGGGGCAAGCGUUGUUCGGAAUUACUGGGCGUAAAGGGCUCGUAGGCGGCCAACUAAGUCAGACGUGAAAUCCCUCGGCUUAACCGGGGAACUGCGUCUGAUACUGGAUGGCUAGAGUCCGGAAGAGGCGAGUGGAAUUCCUGGUGUAGCGGUGAAAUGCGCAGAUAUCAGGAGGAACACCAAUGGCGAAGGCAGCUCGCUGGGACGGUACUGACGCUGAGACGCGAAAGCGUGGGGAGCAAACAGG